AUGGCGAGCCAAAGCUGGAGAGUGAAGGGCGCUGGUGGAAAAGCAGGGCUCCAGGGGAUCCGGCUGCCUUGUCUUCCUUGGCAUUCUGGAGCAAUGUUUCCCUGUGGCGAUGCAGCCAGAGCCAGGACAAGCUCGCUGGAGCCAGAGGUACCAGCACUGAGAUUAGACACAGGGGCUUCAUCAGGCCACAGUCCAGAUGGUCAAGGUGACACGUUACUGAGUGGAGUUCAGUCGGGGGAGCUGCUCCUCUCCGUACUUUUUGAUGUGGCCGUCAUGGCGGUGACCAUGGACCUGGCCUAGCACCACCUGUUCUGCGGGGGCAGCGACAGUUCCAUCUUCCAGGUGGACCUGUUCACCUGGCCAGGACAGAGGGAGAGAAGCUUCCAGCCAGAGCGGGACUCCGGGAAGGUCUUCAAAGGGCACAGGAACCAGGUGACCUGCCUGUCGGUGUCCACGGAUGGCAGCGUGCUGCUCUCGGGCUCCCACGACGAGACCAUGCGGCUCUGGGACGUGCAGAGCAAGCAGUGCAUCCGGACGGUGACCCUCAAAGGCCCCGUCACCAAUGCCACCAUCCUGUUGGCACCCGUCAGCAUGCUGAGCUCAGACUUCAGGCCCAGCCUGCCGCUGCCUCACUUCAACAAGCACCUGCUGGGCGCCGAGCACGGGGACGAGCCGCGCCACGGUGGCCUCACUUUGCGCCUGGGUCUCCACCAGCAGGGCCUGGAGCCCAGCUACCUGGAUCGCACGGAGCAGCUGCAGACCGUGCUGUGCAGCACCAUGGAGAAGAGUGUGCUCGGCGGCCAGGACCAGCUGCGCGUCCGCGUGAUGGAGCUGGAGGACGAGGUGCGCAACCUGUUCGACUUCUCCACGCGCUUCAUCACGCGGCCGACCAAGUGA